GAUGAAGAACGCAGCGAAAUGCGAUAAGUAAUGUGAAUUGCAGAAUUCAGUGAAUCAUCGAAUCUUUGAACGCACAUUGCGCCCGGUAGUAUUCUGCCGGGCAUGCCUGUUCGAGCGUCAUUACAACCCUCAGGCCCCCGGGCCUGGCGUUGGGGAUCGGCGGAGCCCCCCGUGGGCACACGCCGUCCCCCAAAUACAGUGGCGGUCCCGCCGCAGCUUCCAUCGCGUAGUAGCUAACACCUCGCGACUGGAGAGCGGCGCGGCCACGCCGUAAAACACCCAACUCUUCUGAAGUUGACCUCGAAUCAGGUAGGAAUACCCGCUGAACUUAAGCAUAUCAAUAAGCGGAGGA
rnacentral:misc_RNA from 1 species